rnacentral:lncRNA from 1 species
AUGCCUGUGAUCCAGUGGCUUGCUUUUCUCUGCACUCUGUUCAUCAUCCACACUAGAUUAGUACACAGUGACAUUCAGUUCUUGGAGGCCUAUGAAGGAGAAUCUGUGGUUCUUCCCUGUGUGACUGAGCAGAGAAGCUCCUCGCCCUUUGGUGUCUACCUGAAGCGCAAGUGGCUGCAGCCCGGUGAGGUGCUGUUUAUGUACACCAAGGAGAAGAUCACCGUGAACAAUAAAGAUGACAAAAACCGCAUCAGUGUCACUGGAGACCCGAGCAGCCACUGCCUGAAUGUGACUAUCUCUCAACUCAGGCUUAGGGAUACAGAUCACUACUAUUGUGAGUUUCUUGUGGACAAACCUUCCUCUCAAGAUGAACAUAUACUUGGAAAGACAGAGUUCUUCAUCCUAGUAAAACCUGAUGCUCCAGGGCCGGCAAACAUAGAGUUGGUAGAGACGUGUGUUGGGGGCUCGGUCGUGUUCCCCUGUCCAGUCCAACAUGAGGAAGGCUUGGUUGUAGUGGGUGUGAGUCUAAAGCGACAGAGAGGCCAGUCGCCUGUGGAGGUGUUGUACAACUCAAGGCUUCACCAUGCCAGCAGCUCGUCUUUCUCCUCCUCCCAGUUCCCUGUUGAGAGAGUCCAACUGUCCUUGGUGCCCGGCCCUGGCAGCAUCACCUACAACCUGACCUUGCAGCAGCUGCAGCCAGAGGACAGUGCCCUGUACAGCUGCCAAAUGCUGAUACACGGCAGGCCUGACAGCAUCACCAGUCUAGGGAGGCGAGUGUUCUUUGUUUCUGUGCAAGGCAACAACUGUGGCUGCUCCAACUACUCCGUUCUGCUCUAUGUCUUGUCCUCUGCUGUGGCCACGCUGCUGCUCGUCCUCAUUGGACUUGUGGUGUGUUGUCAAGCCAAAACACGCCACCGUGUCAACUCUCAACCUCAGGCUCCCAUCUAUGAAGAGAUGGUUGGGGUGCGGCCUCGCAACCAAAAACUGGCCCCUCACCAUCUGGAGGAAACUCAGUCUUCUCAAUACAGAAACGUCUUAGUAAAGAAAUCCUGUUCUGAAAACCAUUAUGAAAGCCCGAGCGGGGUCCCUUGCCUCAGAACUGAGUCUCAUAAAUGAAAUAUCAGAACUGAAGGUCACUGGACUUCAUACUGAAGUUUCUUCAAUAAAUUUGAGGAGUUUAAAUUCUCCUCAUGCUGUUUUUUUUAUUUUUUGCUUUUUAAUCUCAUAAUGGACUGUUGCUAAUGUGAAAGAGUGGAAAGAGUGUCUUUGUCAGAAUAGAUCAUGGUAUCCUUUUAGAGAGACUGAAAUAUUGUCCCGGUGUAUCAGAUAUGGUUCUAAAACGGUUUUCAUCAUACCUGUCGUACAGUAAUUUUGUUGUUUCAUCAAAUAUCUUCCUUUUCUAAUAUAAAGUAUGGUGUACCUCAAGGGUCAAUUCUCGGCCCACUACUAUUUUCUGUUUAGAUGCUCUCUCUGGGUGAUUUCAUCGUAUCUCGUUCCAUUGCUAUGCUCCCUUUUAAGCCCACUGACCACAGCCCACUAAGUUCCCUACUGAUGUGUCUGAAUGAUAUUCAAGACUGGAUGUCAUUUAAUUUUCUUCAGUUAAAUUAGUUGUUAGUUUAUAAGUUAAUAAGAUUGAAAUUCUCAUUAUUGGCUCUCAAAGUCUUACUGAACAAAUAGCACCAGCUAUGGGGACUCAAUGCCAAAAAUCCUCUGCUAGAAACUAGUCAAGUAGUUUGACCUUUGCAAAUCAUGUCAUUAAGCUUGUCCAGUCUUGCCAUAGUCAUCUCAGAAAUAUUGCCAAAAUUAGAUCCAUUUUAAACUACAGACACUGAAACAAUAAUUCAUGCCCUUUUUACCUAAGUAGUAAAAACCUUAAACUCCUUUAAAUUGUCCAGAACUCAGCUGCAAGACUCUUUUUAUUUUUUUCGAUAUUUUAACCCCAUAUGCACCUUCAUGUUUCAUGUGAUGCUCCUAUAGUUCCAACUGCUCGGCAAGUGUGACAGAGCUUUUCCUGCAAUGGUAUCAAGACUCCAGAAUGAGUUGUCCUUGGAAAUUAGACAGACAGAGUCAUUGUCUUCUUUUAAGUCUGUUAAAAUCAUAUUUUCUGAUUUUAUCUGAAAUUAUUUGUAUAGUUUUAUGUCUGUGUUUAUUUUAUCUUGCUUUUAUUUUUGAAUUUAGACAGCACUUUGGACUUCGUAAGAAAAAUGCUGUAUAAAUAAAGUUAUUACUACUUUGUCAUACUUUUUAACAGCUUUUAUAAAUGUUUGCUGCCAGUAGAUAAAAUAUUUCAUAACAAAAUUUCCCAUCUCAAUGUUAAUAUACAUAUUAAUAUACUAUACAAUAUUCAUAUUGAUACAUUUUCUGUGGUGGCUCCUAGGGAGAAAAUGCAUAGCAAAACAAGAUAUGUACUUAAAGUCCGAAAACAUUCAUGCAAUAAGAAAAAUACUUUGUGUGGCGAUCUCUGGCACAGAGGUUAGCACUGGGGGCCUAUGGUUGUUGGGCAGAAGCAGAUGUGUCCUCCGGGGAGAGAGAUUCGUAAUUUAAUUAGUAAUGUAGCAUAUUUCUCAAAGGUUUACAUUAAACUAAAUUUUGUAAGUAUUUUAAGUUAUAUUUUCCAAAAGUAUAUUAAAUUACUGAUACAACAAAGUAUACUCAAAGGAAAUUUUGCGAAGUAUAUUGAAAUGUCAGUACUUAAUUAGCAAUUUGCAUAAUUCUUAAAUGUUCACUUUAAACAUAUUUGUAAUUUUAUUAAGCUAUUAGUUAUUAGUCAUUAGUUAUUAAGUUUGGGGGUUUAAGGUAAGGUUAGGAUUUAGAGUUAGAGCUAAGACUAGGGUUAGGUUUAGGAUUAGGGCUAGAGUUAAGAUUAGAGUUAGGUUCAGGGUUAGGGCUUGAAAUAGGGUUAGUUCUAGAUUUAGGGUUGUGGAUUGGGCUAGGGUUAGGUUUAAGGUUAGGGAUGGAGUUCAGACUAGAGUUGAGGUUAGGGUUAGUGUUUAGGUAAAGGUUAGGGUUAGCUCUAGCCCUAACCUAAACCCUACCUCUAAACACUAACCCUUAAACCUAACCCCAACACUAACCCAUUCACUUCAAUGCUUAUAUCUUUUGACAGUUGGGUCCAAUCAAAGUGUUUUUUUCCCUCUGAAGAAGCAGGGAGCAGGUCUUUAAUCCAUAACUCUAUUUUAAUUUGGUCCAAUUGGUUUUUAUUCUCCUGUCCACGGUGUACCCCUGCCUUCCACCCGAAAGAGAGCUGUGAUAGGCUCCAGCAGAUCUCCGUGGAUGGAUGGAUGGUUUUUAUUCUACUUUUAAACAUUUUAAAUCUUUAGAAAAAAAAUCUUAUGGUUUUAACUGUUGGUGUUGGAUCAAAUAUAUAUAAUUCACUCUUCAAAGACUUUUAACAACCCACUGAAAAAUUCACUGAACAUUAGGACAAUUGUAGCUCUCAGGCUUUUGGGCCUGGAGGUAGAAAAACCCUCUCCAUUUCAGCAAUACUACACAAUAGGAUUCUUCACAGCUUGACUAAGCCACCAUUAUGGCAGCAAGAUAAAAUUAACUGCGCUGGACUAAGAAACAUCUGUGGCUUGCUUGCUAAACCUGAGGCCUCCAUCCUACAUCUCCAUUUCUGACACACCGGGCCAUCAUACAUUUCCCUACUCACACAUACUGCUACAAAUAUAGGCAUACAUACUCAACACAUACAUAAACAAAUACAUGCACUCACCCAUCUACUACUACAACUGCACAUACUUCAUGGCACGCUAAACAUACCUAUGACUACAACAGCCCACAGUUCAUCUACUAACACACAAUCUCCCCCAAAAAUAACCACAAUGCUAGCUACCAUCCUGGAGAGAGUGGAGGAAGAACAGGAAUUUCCCCCUCUACCAAAACCCACAGCACCACACAGACUAACUCUUCAUUUAGGCCCAAAAACAUCACUGAUAGAACACGUAAUCCAAAACAAAACUUAAGCUCAACCCUAACCCAUUCACUUCAAUGGGGAAACACAUUUUUACUUAUAUCUUCUAGUUGGAAAGUCUUAUUGAAACAGGGGUACCCUAAUGCCGAGACAGCUUUUUCAUCAGUACCAAGCGGGCCUCUUUCCUUCUGUUCCUGAGAUACUGCAAAAAUAUACCUCAGAAACUGGCAAACAAGGUUACAGACAGACAGGAGGGAGACCAAUAGAAAGAACGCUUCCUGGUAUGGGGGCAUACACCCCAUUUUCACAUCUCUACAACCUUCCUAUCAAAAAUUGACAGAGCAAGUUCUCGGCACAGGUACCGAAAUUAGUUUUUGCUCUCCUACCCUAACCCAAACUCUAACCCGAAAGUUAAAGCUAACCCCAACACUAACCCAUUCAUUUCAAUGGUGAAACACAUUUUUGGUUGUAUCUUUUGGUAGGUAAGUCCAAUCAAAACAGGUGGGUGGCAUGUACCCUAAUUCAGGGAGGGCCUUUCCAAUGGUACAAAGCACGUCUCUCCAAUCUUUUCGUUCACAAUAAUGAUAAUGAAUGAAUCAACCCCCCUCAGUCAUAAAAAAUUAUCAUGUUCCUCAAAGCACAGGUCGAGGUGGAAGAGUAGCUACAAUCUUCCACUCAAACUUAUUAAACUUUCAUCCUCAGAACAAUUUUAACUCAUUUGAGAGCCUCACUCUUAGUCUCUCACAUCCAAACUGGAAAACACAAAAACCAGUUCUACUUGUCAUUGUGUACCAUCCACCUGUCCCUUACUCAGAGUUUUUAACUGAAUUCCCUG